rnacentral:rRNA from 1 species
GGCCAAUCAGGCCCAUCCACUUGCACGGCCCGCACUAUGCUUCUUCUUCUCUAUCAAGAAAUGGUACAGCGUUAAAGCCACCAGAUCCCACGGCGCAGAACUACCCAAACCCCAACCAAAAUCCACCCCCAAACUAGGUCAUCCAUGUCUGGCGGCGGGCAAGCAGCGGUCUCGUUCCUGACGAAGGUCGCAAAGGUGGCUGCCGGGUUGGGCUUGACGGCAUCUGCCGUCUCCACGUCCCUCUACACGGUGGACGGCGGCCAACGGGCGGUCAUCUUCGACCGCUUCCAGGGCGUUCUCCCGGCGGUCGUCUCGGAGGGCACCCACUUCCUCGUCCCCUGGCUCCAGAAGCCCUUCCUCUUCGACAUCCGCACGCGCCCGCACAGCUUCUCCUCCACCUCCGGAACCAAGGAUCUGCAGAUGGUCAGCCUCACGCUCCGCGUCCUCGCCCGCCCCGAUGUGGAACGCCUUCCUGAAAUCUUCACCAACCUCGGCCUCGACUACGACGACAAGGUGCUCCCCUCCAUCGGCAACGAGGUGCUCAAGGCGGUCGUCGCCCAGUUCAACGCAGACCAGCUCCUCACCGACCGUCCCCACGUCUCUGCCCUCGUCCGUGAAGCCCUCGUCCGCCGCGCCGGCGAGUUCAACAUCGUGCUCGAUGACGUCGCCAUCACCCACCUCGCCUACGGGCACGACUUCGCCCAGGCCGUUGAGAAGAAGCAGGUCGCGCAGCAGGAGGCUGAGCGCUCCAGGUUCCUCGUUGCGCGUGCAGAGCAGGAGAGGCGUGCUGCUAUCGUUCGCGCGGAGGGAGAGAGCGAGUCCGCACGGCUCAUCUCAGAUGCCACCGCUCUUGUAGGCAAUGGCCUGAUCGAGCUCAGGAGGAUCGAGGCUGCCAAGGAGAUAGCUGGGGUGAUUGCGCGCUCACCCAAUGUUUCCUACAUCCCUUCUGGCAACAACGGCCAGAUGCUGCUUGGGCUCAGCACUGCCCGGUGAAUGAAUUGCCACUUAUCUUCCAGUUGGUCACAGUACUUUAGUCACUUGAGAUGCCCAAUUAUCCUUCACUUGAUUACAAUACUUGAAUAACUUCAGAUGCUUCGACAUAGUAGUAUUUUACGAUUUUAUCGUAGAAUGGAGACUUCUAUUAUGGAGGAGUCAUUGAACAAAUGUUGUAUUUUGGUUGCCAACCUAUGCUAUAUUAGGGUCCCUAUAUUAGUGCUUAUGAUGCGUUCUUUUUAUUAUUGCAGGGAUAUGGUCCUCUAUGGUUAUUGCUCAGAAGCAACUUGGUUUUUGAAUUAUUGGUUUCAUUUGUUGUUUUUUCUGAUUAAAGUUCUACGAUUGUUUUGUUGAUCAUAUUUGUUAUUGCAUAGUUUGGUCUGGGUAGCCGUGCAACGCGCAGCAAAAUAUUGCACUCUGUUUUGUAAAUAGGGUGAGCAUGCAUGAGCUGCAUUUGUCAACACUACAUCUGCUUGUAGUUAAUCUUUUGUUGAUUUUUUUGGUUUUACUACUAGUGAAGUAUACUAACUAGCUAUUUGACCGUGGGUUGCAACGGAAACAUAAAUAUUAGUUAUCCGACGUAUACUUUACCCUCACCGUAUUCUAGAUUUUGAUAGCAUGUUAUUUAGUUGAGGUUUUGAUAAGAUUUUGAUCCGAUUUGGGUAUGGACAGGGGAAAACAAAAAGUUAUGAUUGAGUCAAGAUUUCGGUAACAGCUGAUUUUAAUUGUUUUGAUUGAGUUAAUGCAUGACAUGGUUUUUGAGAAGUAUCGAUUUUGUUUUAAUUAUUUUAAGUUACUCUAUUUAUGUUGGUUUUUAUUUUGUGCGGUAUUUGUUGAGAUCAUCAAAACAAACCCAAAAGAAAAUCAAAGUGGAGGGGGAGGCGUGAGGGAGGAAACAACCGGGAAGGAGAUGAAGAGGACACUACCAACUCCCUUUUAAUGGUAGAGAUUAUGUACAACAAAGGGUAGCUUGGCCAGGAGUUCUUUUAUUUGAGUCUUUGUUAGUUCCAUUAUGUCCUUGUGCUCCAAUUUUGUAAAAAUAAAAGAGGUAUGAUGGCAAUAUUGGUACUUUCGCAUCACCUAUCCCUGGCCCUCUAUUUGGGCUUUUCCUUUCCAUGCCCCCUAGAGUUUGUAGUUUUUUUAGUCUCAACCACAAAAACCAAGUUACAUACUAGUAACUUGUAACCCUUCUGUUCUUUAGUAUAUUAAAUUAUCAUUAAUUUAGUAUAACUUUGUUCCGUGAGGGAGACCCCGUGUCAUCAUAUUUGUUCUCUGUGUGGAAGGAUUUACAUCUCUUUUGAAUCUGUAUGGGGGUGCACCAUAAGCGAUCAAUUGCAGUCUUUGACCUCGGCAAAUGUGGCACUGAGAUUUUUAAUCUAUGUAGUUGCGUUCUCUCUGUCUUCUGAAACCGACGAGUAGUCUAUUAAAGUAUUAAUAGGAGCCGACACAUAUAACCUGCUAAUCUUCUCCGGUGAUUCUAUUAUUCUUUCCAUUAAUUCACUUGUUUACUGUUUGCAUCUCUCCCACUCCCCAAAUCAUCCCUUGCCUUCUACAAAUCUGCACAUACAAAUUCACCUAUUUGUUGCCCUAAUGGUUGUCGCUGCAUCCGACCUCGCAGAGCCCCCGCCAUCGCUGGACUGAGCUGCGGCGACCCUGCAACUGAUGGAUUCGGUGACGAGGGGGCUGCGCCAGCACCAUCUGCAACCUUCAGCGCCCUCCUCCCGUACCAUAUUAUGCCACCAAUGGAUUCCAUGGCGAGGAGCUGUGCCAGCACCACGCGCAACCUAGCUCCCCCGCCUUUAGAUGCCUCAAUCGCAAUGAUCGGAUUAGAUAGUGAGGAGCUACAAUGCCCUACCACGGUUGGAUUCGAUGGCGAGGUUCUGCGCAACCCCUUUUGCAACCGGCUCCGCUGCCCUUGCUCUUCCAAAUUUUGCCUAGAUGGAGCCCAAUGAAAAGGUGAAGAAAAGAUGAGAAUUUUUUGUGCCGCAUUACUGAUUUCAUCCAAAAAUUGUUGAGAGUUGAUGAAUUGUGAACAUCUGGCAUUUGAUAAGGUGAGAGGUUCUAUAAAAAUAAAAUCGAACAGGUUGUGUUAAAAUUUUCUGCCAUGAGACUUUGGACAUUGCCAUGGUGAUUGUAGUCUAUUAGAAACAAACAAGUAAUUGUGCUUGCUUAAUGCUUAGUUCAUUACAACGAUGACCUGCACAACGUGUAGUACUUUUGACUUUGGUAUCCCUUCAUUGUUGUUUCAGUGGAUGUUAGAAGGAAAUAACAGCAAUAGCAAAACAAAUGCCUAGGAUAAUAUAGCUGAAGGACCAAGAAUCCAACAUAGUACACAUGUAUACAUUCUAUGCUUGAUGUUUUUAUGGCAAAAAUACAAGGUCUGAUUAAUUUUUCUAUACAUCAUGAAUCAGAUUCAGUAUGAUAUGCACAAUUAUAGUUCAUUAAGGUACAAAGGAAAUUAUGGUUGUUCAGUAAACUUAUUUACUUUCAUGAAGGCCUAUAGAAAUUUACUAGCUUUUUUAUCCAUGUUGUGAGUAGCCUUGAAUUUGUCGUCCAAGCUUUAUUCAAUCACAUGAAUCAGAAUGUAUUCUUCUACUGUAGUUGAUACAAUAUAUCAUAUUUAUUUUAAGUUUCUUUCUCACAACAUAUGCACGAGGGCCUUAGUAUCUUACCAUGAGUUCUGCACCUUGAUGUAGAAAUCCAUGAAGGGUGAUUCAUGCACAUCUGAACAACUAUGUGCUCCAUAAAUCAGCUAAUCAUCUAUAUUCUGAAGAUGCAUCUGUAUUUUCCUUCCAGUUUUCCACCGUGGAUGGUUAAACAUUGAGAUAUUAAUAUCGUGAGAUAUAAUAUAAUUAUGUAAGGUUUGUACAUGGUUAAUUUUCAAAAUUCUAAUUCUUUUUAAUUAGCUUCAACAUGCAUGUACAUACUAUUCUGAACUCUUACUGGCUUCUGUUAUUAGAGAAUGAAUGUAACAUAUUUUGGUAAGCAUGUUUCCCAUUCUCUAAAAUUUCAUAAAGUACAUCUUAGUUUGACUCUUUACAGAGAGACAUAUAUGUUGUUUCAGAAGGGAGAGAGGUUUAGAUGUUCCCUCUUCAACAUGUUAGUUGCACGUUGUAUAGGGUCAUAGAGUAUUAAUAUCCAUAUUCACUUCAUGUUGUAUUUGUUUUACAUCAUUUAGAUUAUGUUGUAAUCUUAAAGUGCACAUAAUUUAUCACUUCAUAUUUAUUUGUUUUGUACCGUGCAGAUUAUGUAUGUGUCCUUCUCAAGUCAUUUUAUGUGCUAAUUCCACUACACAGUCCGGCAGAGAUCAUUCUCAAACAUAGACACAUUGCGACGUUGGCGCAGUGUAAAGUCUGCCUAGACGCGGAUGAGGAUACGGUUCAUGCAUUGAUCAAAUGCACACAUGCAAAAAUAUUUUGGAGGGAGGCUAAGGAAUGGCUACAUAUUAAGCUUCCGGAGCUCUUACAGAUACAUGGUCAAGAGAUAUUCUAUGUGACCCAAGGUUUGAUGACACAGAUCAUGCAAAAAAUAUUAUGGUCAUGUGGGUUAUCUGGAUAUCCAGGAACAAUACUACCCAUGACAAGGAAAAUUUGGACCCGAUGCAGUCAAUGAAAAUGAAGGAUGCCCUAUCGCUACUGGAGUUACCGGGGGAGCAUGCUAAAAUAUUGCCAGGUCACAUUACGUGACUUUAGUUCGUUAUUAUUUUUGCUUUGCAUAAUCAUAUAGAGUUGACAUGACAUUUGUGGCAAUGCCACCAUUCAUCAUUAUGCACAUGUUACGCUAGAUCAUUGCAUACCCUGGUACAUGCCAGAGGCAUUCCAUUUGUAGUCAUCAAUUUUUUAAGUUAUGAAUAAAUAAAAGUGUGAGGUCAUUUAUAGUGUGCCUCUACCUGUGUGGAAUAAAAAAAGAGAGGCCAAAAAGAGCCCAAGAAAAAGGGGCCAAAAAG